CUGGGUUUCAAUCCGAAUCUCGCUGUGCUCUUCUCCCGCGCCUCUCUUCCUUGUCCUAAAACAAUCAGCAAGGCACAGGGGCAGAGCUGACAUCGGCCUUGGGCACCACCGACCACGACCACGGCUGAUCUUCCUUCAACGUCCUCUUCCCAGAUUCUCAGCUGGAGACAGAUGAGGAAACUGAUGGUCAACAAGAUGCCCUUUUGCCCGGGUUCUGGAAAGUGAUGGAGGCAGCUUCAGACGCAGUUAUGGAAAUUGAGGCUCAGAGCUGUUACGCAAUGUGGAGGGUGAAAGAAUCAAGCCACUCAGAUCCUUCCAGGCACUAGAGGAAGGAAUGAACUGGGAUUCAGAAGAUUCCAGUCUCUCCGCCACUGCCUUGCUGGGUGCUGAGUGGUACCUCUUGUUCCUGGAAGAUUGGGUCCUCAUGGAAGAGAUGCUCUCCAUGAGAGAGGAGUGGGCUCUCCUUCCCACACACGCCAUCCACAGCGCUCCCUUGAACUUCAAAGAGAAGCCCCCCACCAGGAAGCUGGACUUGUUCUAAGACAUGGCGAGGAGGUGGCUGUAGGCAAGCCGUAAGCAAAGCCCUCACCGGAGCGUGAUCAAGCUGCCACCCUCUUCUCAGCCCUCCAGCCUCCAGAACGGAGCCACUGCAUCUGAGCAGGAGGGCACAGUACAUCCUGCCACCAGGAGUUAAGCCACCUUCCUCCUGGCCCAGGGAACACAGGCGAGGCAAGAAGAAAACCUUCCCGUGGCUCAGUCCUAGGGAACCAAAGGCAGGAGGGGAACUCCAGGCUUCCAGAAGUCACGUUGGGAACCAUCAGCACGUCUCCCUUGCAGACACGGAUGACCCCUCACGAUGGGUCCUACCAAGAAAGAGAGCAUGUGUUCUUUUGAUCAAGCCAUAUGCAGUGUUGAACUGUCUCACGCAACUGGAGCUCAUCCAUUUGCUUCUGUGCCGUGACCUGUGAGAGCUUCUCCCGGAGCCUGUGCCGAGGACCGAUACAAGGUAGCCCAGCACUGGCAUUUCUGCAGUUGUGACCGAAACAGGAUGUACAGAAGCUAAACACACAAGCUCCGGAUUCAGAUUUCCAACGUCAAAUGUUGGUCUUUGCCACUCACCCCUUGUGCGUUCUUAAACUUAACCUUAACCUUAACCUCUCUGCACCUCAGUGCCCUUACCUGCA